rnacentral:lncRNA from 1 species
ACCACCUCAAGGAAAGUGUUCACUCAUUCGUUCUCUGCUCAUUUGGCCACUAAUCCACCCAAACACCUACUAUGUACAGGCACAGGAUUGGGUUCAGGGGAGAUUGAAAGAGGCCAAGAGCUUGUGGCCUAGAAGGGACCAGAGGGUGCCAGUGAUCACAGGGGUUCAGAGUCCUAGGGCGGCAUGGCCAAGAGUGCUGGCAAAGCAACCUGGGGGCAGCUCAGCAGCCUUCCAGAGGACUGUCACUUGGAUCCAUCCUGAGGGCUCAGCAAACGUCGCUGGAGCCCCCAGAGGCUGGAGGACAGGGGUCUGAGGAGCCAUAUGCUCUAAAGCUUGGAGAUCAAAGAAAGCCUCGUUUGAUGCCUGCAAGUGAAAUAAGUUUCAUGUCCCUGAGAGGAGUGAACACUGGGGAUGUCAGCAUAGAGAGUGGGACGGUGAGAAAGUAGGCUGGGAGAAGGACAUGCAGCUUCCAUGUGAACUUGAAGUUGAAAGACCCAAGGGAUUUCAGGACAGGAAUGGCUGGAUUGUAUACAGUUGAUGUGUUUGAUGGUGUGAAAAAACACAC